GCUUAACACAUGCAAGUCGAGGGGCAGCAUGGUCUUAGCUUGCUAAGGCCGAUGGCGACCGGCGCACGGGUGAGUAACACGUAUCCAACCUGCCGUCUACUCUUGGACAGCCUUCUGAAAGGAAGAUUAAUACAAGAUGGCAUCAUGAGUCCGCAUGUUCACAUGAUUAAAGGUAUUCCGGUAGACGAUGGGGAUGCGUUCCAUUAGAUAGUAGGCGGGGUAACGGCCCACCUAGUCUUCGAUGGAUAGGGGUUCUGAGAGGAAGGUCCCCCACAUUGGAACUGAGACACGGUCCAAACUCCUACGGGAGGCAGCAGUGAGGAAUAUUGGUCAAUGGGCGAGAGCCUGAACCAGCCAAGUAGCGUGAAGGAUGACUGCCCUAUGGGUUGUAAACUUCUUUUAUAAAGGAAUAAAGUCGGGUAUGGAUACCCGUUUGCAUGUACUUUAUGAAUAAGGAUCGGCUAACUCCGUGCCAGCAGCCGCGGUAAUACGGAGGAUCCGAGCGUUAUCCGGAUUUAUUGGGUUUAAAGGGAGCGUAGAUGGAUGUUUAAGUCAGUUGUGAAAGUUUGCGGCUCAACCGUAAAAUUGCAGUUGAUACUGGAUAUCUUGAGUGCAGUUGAGGCAGGCGGAAUUCGUGGUGUAGCGGUGAAAUGCUUAGAUAUCACGAAGAACUCCGAUUGCGAAGGCAGCCUGCUAAGCUGCGACUGACAUUGAGGCUCGAAAGUGUGGGUAUCAAACAGGAUUAGAUACCCUGGUAGUCCACACGGUAAACGAUGAAUACUCGCUGUUUGCGAUAUACUGCAAGCGGCCAAGCGAAAGCGUUAAGUAUUCCACCUGGGGAGUACGCCGGCAACGGUGAAACUCAAAGGAAUUGACGGGGGCCCGCACAAGCGGAGGAACAUGUGGUUUAAUUCGAUGAUACGCGAGGAACCUUACCCGGGCUUAAAUUGCAGAUGAAUUACGGUGAAAGCCGUAAGCCGCAAGGCAUCUGUGAAGGUGCUGCAUGGUUGUCGUCAGCUCGUGCCGUGAGGUGUCGGCUUAAGUGCCAUAACGAGCGCAACCCUUGUUGUCAGUUACUAACAGGUUCCGCUGAGGACUCUGACAAGACUGCCAUCGUAAGAUGUGAGGAAGGUGGGGAUGACGUCAAAUCAGCACGGCCCUUACGUCCGGGGCUACACACGUGUUACAAUGGGGGGUACAGAGGGCCGCUACCACGCGAGUGGAUGCCAAUCCCCAAAACCUCUCUCAGUUCGGACUGGAGUCUGCAACCCGACUCCACGAAGCUGGAUUCGCUAGUAAUCGCGCAUCAGCCACGGCGCGGUGAAUACGUUCCCGGGCCUUGUACACACCGCCCGUCAAGCCAUGGGAGCCGGGGGUACCUGAAGUGCGUAACCGCGAGGAGCGCCCUAGGGUAAAACUGGUGACUGGGGCUAAGUCGU
rnacentral:rRNA from 1 species